AGGGAAGGGUACGGAGGCGGGGCGAGCCUGCGGCGGCAGAGGCCAGCGUCACGUUACAGCAGCCUGAGGCGCGCCCUGUGUUCUCCUGGGUAAAUGCGUAGGAGUAGAAUAGCUGGAUCAUAAGCUUUCUGCCUCUGUCAGCAUCCCCCCAGGAGCAUUUCUUCACCCCUAAACCAGCAGCGCCUUUCAGGUCUACAAGCUGAAUCCAGUUUGCAGUUUUCCAACAUUCACAGAACGAGCCUCAUCAAACCCCCAUCAGAAACACCAGCAUGAGGGGACACGGGUUCAAGCCCUGGUCCAGGAAGAUCCCACAUGCCGCGGAGCAACUAAGCCUGUGCGCCACAACUACUGAGCCUGCACUCUAGAGCCCGCGAGCCACAACUACUGAAGCCCAUGCGCCUAGAGCCUGUGCUCCGCAACAAGAGAAGCCACCGCAAUGAGAAGCCCACGCACCACAACGAAGAGUAGCCCCCGCUCGCCGCAACUAGAGAAUGCCCACGCACAGCAACGAAGACCCAACGCCGCCAAAAAUAAAUAAAUAAGUAAAUUUAUUUAAAAAAAAUAAGAAAGAAAUACAUAGUUGGUCUUCAUCCUCAUUUCUAGCAGAGUUCCUAAAAUCCUUGGAAUUUCCUAAGUGAUGAGAGCAACAAAAGUGUCUUUGUUAUG